rnacentral:rRNA from 1 species
AUUGAACGCUGGCGGCAGGCCUAACACAUGCAAGUCGAACGAGUGGCGGACGGGUGAGUAAUGUCUGGGAAACUGCCUGAUGGAGGGGGAUAACUACUGGAAACGGUAGCUACUACCGCAUACCAUCAGAUGUGCCCAGAUGGGAUUAGCUUGUUGGUGGGGUAACGUCUCACCAAGGCGACGAUCCCUAGCUGGUCUGCGAGGAUGACCAGCCAACAGGGAACCGAGACACGGCCCAGAGUCCUACGGGAGGCAGCAGUGGGGAAUAUUGAACAAUGGGCGCAAGCCUGAUGCAGCCAUGCCGCGUGUAUGAAGAAGGCCUUCGGGUUGUAAAGUACUUUCAGAGGGGAGGCGUUACCCGCAGAAGAAGCACCGGCUAACUCCGUGCCAGCAGCGGCGGUAAUAC